AUUGAACGCUGGCGGCAGGCUUAACACAUGCAAGUCGAGCGGGGGAAGGUAGCUUGCUACUGGACCUAGCGGCGGACGGGUGAGUAAUGCUUAGGAAUCUGCCUAUUAGUGGGGGACAACAUCUCGAAAGGGAUGCUAAUACCGCAUACGUCCUACGGGAGAAAGCAGGGGAUCUUCGGACCUUGCGCUAAUAGAUGAGCCUAAGUCGGAUUAGCUAGUUGGUGGGGUAAAGGCCCACCAAGGCGACGAUCUGUAGCGGGUCUGAGAGGAUGAUCCGCCACACUGGGACUGAGACACGGCCCAGACUCCUACGGGAGGCAGCAGUGGGGAAUAUUGGACAAUGGGGGGAACCCUGAUCCAGCCAUGCCGCGUGUGUGAAGAAGGCCUCAUGGUUGUAAAGCACUUUAAGCGAGGAGGAGGCUACUCUAGUUAAUACCUAGGGAUAGUGGACGUUACUCGCAGAAUAAGCACCGGCUAACUCUGUGCCAGCCGCCGCCGUAA
rnacentral:rRNA from 1 species